rnacentral:rRNA from 1 species
UACGUAGGGUGCAAGCGUUGUCCGGAAUUAUUGGGCGUAAAGAGCUCGUAGGCGGUUUGUCGCGUCUGCUGUGAAAUCCCGAGGCUCAACCUCGGGCUUGCAGUGGGUACGGGGCAGACUAGAGUGCGGUAGGGGGAGAUUGGAAUUCCUGGUGUAGCGGUGGAAUGCGCAGAUAUCAGGAGGAACACCGAUGGCGAAGGCAGAUCUCUGGGCCGUAACUGACGCUGAGGAGCGAAAAGCAUGGGGGAGCGAACAGG